rnacentral:rRNA from 1 species
GACGAACGCUGGCGGCGUGCUUAACACAUGCAAGUCGAACGGUGAACCUGCUUCGGUGGGGGAUCAGUGGCGAACGGGUGAGUAACACGUGGGCAACCUGCCCUCAGCUCUGGGAUAACUCCAAGAAAUUGGGGCUAAUACUGGAUAUGACCGCUGACCGCAUGGUCUGGUGGUGGAAAGAUUUAUCGGCUGGGGAUGGGCCCGCGGCCUAUCAGCUUGUUGGUGGGGUAGUGGCCUACCAAGGCGACGACGGGUAGCCGGCCUGAGAGGGUGACCGGCCACACUGGGACUGAGACACGGCCCAGACUCCUACGGGAGGCAGCAGUGGGGAAUAUUGCGCAAUGGGCGAAAGCCUGACGCAGCGACGCCGCGUGGGGGAUGACGGCCCUCGGGUUGUAAACCUCUUUCAGCAGGGACGAAGCGAAAGUGACGGUACCUGCAGAAGAAGCACCGGCCAACUACGUG